UACGUAGGGUGCAAGCGUUAAUCGGAAUUACUGGGCGUAAAGCGUGCGCAGGCGGUUAUGCAAGACAGAUGUGAAAUCCCCGGGCUCAACCUGGGAACUGCAUUUGUGACUGCAUGGCUAGAGUGCGGCAGAGGGGGGAUGGAAUUCCGCGUGUAGCAGUGAAAUGCGUAGAUAUGCGGAGGAACACCGAUGGCGAAGGCAAUCCCCUGGGCCUGCACUGACGCUCAUGCACGAAAGCGUGGGGAGCAAACAGG
rnacentral:rRNA from 1 species